AUACACAGCAAAUGUCAGAGUGUUAAAAUCCCAGAGUUUUGAUGACCAGAGUAUAAUUUAUACACUUUGGAGUAAACUGGGCUUAAAGUACACUUGUCAGGUUUCACCAGAAACUCUCUCAAGUGUUAGUGUAUUGGUUCAGUGUUGAUGUGGAGCUGUUGUAGUGUAAAUAGUGGGAUGAUGAACACUUUGAGAGUCAAUCUGUUGCUGUCCCGUCCGCACAUGAGUUUAGGUUUCGAUACGUCAUCAGAUCGACAACGCGUUGUCAUUGGUUGAAUCAUGAUGCAGCCUCGUGGACACCAGUUUCCAACUGACAUCUGAAGUCGUCGACAUUUUGAUUCUGCGGGACCAUAGUAAUAUGUGAGGAAAACUACAGCAAUGCUUUUCAAAGUGCAGUACCAAGGAAAGAAGAAGUACAUCAAACUCAAUGGAGUAUCAUAUCCAGCAUUUCUCAGGGAGGCUAAAGAGAAGUUCAGCAUACCCCCUGAGACAAACAUGUAUGUGCUGGAUGACAGUGGAACAGAGGUUGAUGAAGAGGUCUUCAGCGACAUCUUGGAGGAAAAAGCAGACAUCCUGUGGACCAUUGUUAAUGUUCUUUCAGUUUCUGACUCUCCCAUCCAGUCCUCGUGCACAAACACCUUGUCACUAUCAUCACCCUCAUCGGACAGUGAUGCUUCUCUGAUGUCCCCAAAAAGACAGCGCAUUGAUGACACCUUUUGUGAUGUACCCAAAAAGUCUACAUACUGAUGACAGUUCUUCACAAGCCAAAGAGGUGAUGUUUUUUCAGAACAUUUCUCUUUAUGUUGUAAACAUUACAUUUACCUGUUACUGUUACCAUAAAAUUUUUACCUGUUGUCAAGCUUGUCAAAAGUAUUCUGGAACAAAAGCCUGGAGGUGAGAAAAUCCUUGCAAAAUAUGCAAUGACAGGAGAGAUGAAGGACCGAGCACGCCGUGAUCUUGUCAGCAUUGUUGUUGCUGAAAUGUUUGAAAAGUAUGGACGUGCUCCCCCUAUGGAUAAAAGAGCACAGUAUGCAUUGGGGAUAGUAACACUGUUCCCCUCUCUAAAAGAUCCCUACUCCAAAAAAGGCUAUGAACACUUUUUUGACAUAGACAGCAAUGAGGGCUACAUUGCCUGGAAGAUUAAAAACACACAGUGAGAACUCAGCAAUGGCGGUACCAAUGGGGGUAGGAGAAGGAGCUCUCACACUACAGGCAGCAGCGGACCAAACUUAGAGAGAGAAGUGACUAAAGUGCAGCAGUUGGAGGGAGACCAGUGUCGAGAGGCCAUAUCUCUACUGAAACACAGCACAGACAACGAACAGAUCUUCAUGAAAAUGAGAGAAACCUUCCAGCACAGGCAAAAGUUGAUCCAUGAUCCUGAGCAAUGCAGCACAGUGCUUACUGUGUUCUCAAGGUUUCUUGACACAAAAGGCCUGGUGGCGCAAGACUUUGACCUGUUGUUUGGAGCUGAGACUUCAUCAAAACUCCUUGAGAAAUGGGAUUUCCUGAAGGCCA